rnacentral:rRNA from 1 species
UACGUAGGGUGCAAGCGUUGUCCGGAAUUAUUGGGCGUAAAGAGCUCGUAGGCGGUCUGUUGCGUCGGCUGUGAAAACCCGGGGCUCAACCCCGGGCCUGCAGCCGAUACGGGCAGACUAGAGUUCGGUAGGGGAGACUGGAAUUCCUGGUGUAGCGGUGAAAUGCGCAGAUAUCAGGAGGAACACCGGUGGCGAAGGCGGGUCUCUGGGCCGAUACUGACGCUGAGGAGCGAAAGCGUGGGGAGCAAACAGG